rnacentral:rRNA from 1 species
AAAGAUCUAAGUAAAUUUUUAAGUUUUUGUGUCAAAAAGAUUUAUAAAAUUUAUUUAGUUGUGAAAUUCUAAUCGCUUUUAUUAAUAUCUAGUAACUUCAGAAAUAAAUCUAGUUUAGAAUGCUAAGAAUUACUUUAUUUAAAAGUUAUUUUAAAAUCAUUUUUAGAUUUUAGGGGAUGAGCUCUAGGAUCUUUAUAUAAGAAUAAUUUUUUCUAUAUUUUUUAUAGGCUUAGAAUUAGCCAUUUGAUAGUGUUAUAAAAUAUAAUUUUAAGUUUUUGAUUUUAUAUUCUUUUUUGUUUAUGAGGUUUAUUUUAAAAUUUUUUUUUAUUUGGAAAUAUGAUAACAUAAGUAGAUUUAUUUUUAAGGAAAAUAUUAUAAAAUUUUCUAAUUAUUUUUUUAAAAAAAGACUAGCAAAAGAACUCGGCAAAUAAAAUUUCCGAAUGUUUAACAAAAACAUUUCCUCUUAGAAGAAGAGGUAAGGCCUGCUCACUGAAAAUUUAAAGAGCCGCAGUAUCCUAACUGUGCUAAGGUAGCAUAAUCAUUAGUCUUUUAAUUGGAGACUGGUAUGAAUGGCUUAACGAGAAAUUGACUUUUUUUGCUAUUUUAAUUGAAUUUAAUUUUUUAGUGAAAAAGCUAAAAUUAUUUAGAAAGACGAGAAGACCCUAUAGAGUUUUAUAUCUGAUUUUAUUUUUUCUUAUUAGAUUUUUUGAGAAUAAAUAUAUAAAGAUAUUUUGUUGGGGCGACAUUAAGAUAUAAAAAACUCUUUAUUUUAUAAAUUUUUAUGUAAAUAUUUCAUGAUCCUCUAAAAGGGAUCAAAAGAAAAAAUUACCUUAGGGAUAACAGCGUAAUCUUUUUUAAGAGUUCUAAUCGACAAAAAGGUUUGCGACCU